rnacentral:rRNA from 1 species
AGAGUUUGAUCCUGGCUCAGAAUGAACGUUGGCGGCGUGGAUUAGGCAUGCAAGUCGCGCGGAAAGGUCCUUCGGGACACUCGAGCGGCGAAAGGGAGAGUAACGCGUGGUUUAUCUACCUUCAGGACCGGGAUAGCCAAGGGAAACUUUGGGUAAUACCGGAUAACGUCUCCGGACCAAAGGUGUGAGUCCGCCUGGAGAUGAGACCGCGUCCUAUUAGCUAGUUGGUGAGGUAACGGCCCACCAAGGCGACGAUGGGUACGGGGUGUGAGAGCAUGACCCCGCUCACUGGGACUGAGACACUGCCCAGACACCUACGGGUGGCUGCAGUCGAGAAUCUUCGGCAAUGGGCGCAAGCCUGACCGAGCGACGCCGCGUGCGGGAUGAAGGCCUUCGGGUUGUAAACCGCUGUCGGAGGGGAGGAAAUGCUAUGAGGUACUCCUCAUAGUUUGACCUAGCCUCAAAGGAAGGACGGGCUAAGUUCGUGCCAGCCGCCGCGGUAAUAC